rnacentral:rRNA from 1 species
GAUGAACGCUAGCUACAGGCUUAACACAUGCAAGUCGAGGGGCAGCAUGAAAGUUUGCUUGCAAACUUUUGAUGGCGACCGGCGCACGGGUGAGUAACACGUAUGCAACCUGCCCGCCACAGGGGGAUAAGCGGAAGAAAUUCCGUCUAAUACCGCGUGACGCGGCGCCGGGGCAUCCCGGUGCCGCCAAAGGGAUUACCGGUGGCGGAUGGGCAUGCGGCGCAUUAGCUAGUCGGCGGGGUAACGGCCCACCGAGGCGACGAUGCGUAGGGGUUCUGAGAGGAAGGUCCCCCACACUGGUACUGAGACACGGACCAG